UUAAGUUGUCAUGGCAACUCCAUGUGGCUUCUGUCUCUCCUCCUGGGAUUCCUUGUGCUGGACAAGGCAUGCUUUUAAAUGUGGAUAGAACCAGUGGCUGUACAAUUAAAUUUUUCCAAUUUAUUUUCAGGACAGAGAGGUUUGCAGUGUAGGUCUGGCUUUAUACCCUUACUUAAGAAGACAUCUUCUGGGUCCUCAAGGAUUGGAAGGAACCUAGUUAGCCGCAUAGUAAAAUCUGUACUUUGUGGCCACCAGAAGUUUGACAGCAAGUAA
rnacentral:lncRNA from 13 species